rnacentral:rRNA from 1 species
UGCGGCCGCGAUUCCGGUUGAUCCUGCCGGACCCGAUCGCUAUCGGGGUGGGGCUAAGCCAUGGGAGUCGCACGCCCCGGUAACCGGGGCGUGGCGAACGGCUGAGUAACACGUGGCUAACCUACCCUCGGGACGGGGAUAGUCCCGGGAAACUGGGAGCAAUCCCCGAUAGGUGGAGAUUCCUGGAAGGGUUCUCCACCGAAAGGGUGUUGCGGGGAUGUCCGCAACGCCGCCCGAGGAUGGGGCCACGGCCCAUCAGGUUGUUGGCGGGGUAAGGGCCCGCCAAGCCUAUAACGGGUAGGGGCCGUGAGAGCGGGAGCCCCCAGAUGGGCCCUGAGACAAGGGCCCAGGCCCUACGGGGUGCACCAGGCGCGAAAACUCCGCAA